GAUGAACGCUAGCUACAGGCUUAACACAUGCAAGUCGAGGGAGUGGCGGACGGGUGAGUAAUGUCUGGGAAACUGCCCGAUGGAGGGGGAUAACUACUGGAAACGGUAGCUAAUACCGCAUACCAUCAGCUGUGCCCAGAUGGGAUUAGCUGGUAGGUGGGGUAACGGCUCACCUAGGCGACGAUCCCUCGCUGGUCUAAGAGGAUGACGAGCCACACUGGAACUGAGACACGGGCCAGACUCCUACGGGAGGCAGCAGUGGUGAAUAUUGCACAAUUGGCGAAAGCCUGAUGCAGCCAUGCCGCGUGUGUGAAGAAGGCCUUCGGGUUGUAAAGCACUUUCAGCGGGGAGGCGUUACCCGCAGAAGAAGCACCGGCUAACUCCGUGCCAGCAGCCGCGGUAAUAC
rnacentral:rRNA from 1 species